rnacentral:rRNA from 1 species
AAUAGAUACCCUGGUAGUCCACGCCGUAAACGAUGGAUACUAGCUGUUUGGAAGAAAUUCUGAGUGGCUAAGCGAAAGUGAUAAGUAUCCCACCUGGGGAGUACGGGCGCAAGCCUGAAACUCAAAGGAAUUGACGGGGGCCCGCACAAGCGGUGGAGCAUGUGGUUUAAUUCGAUGAUACGCGAGGAACCUUACCAGGGCUUAAAUGUAGAUUGACAGGCGUGGAAACAUGCUUUUCUUCGGACAAUUUACAAGGUGCUGCAUGGUUGUCGUCAGCUCGUGCCGUGAGGUGUCAGGUUAAGUCCUAUAACGAGCGCAACCCCUGUUGUUAGUUGCCAGCGAGUAGUGUCGGGAACUCUAACAAGACUGCCAGUGUAAACUGUGAGGAAGGUGGGGAUGACGUCAAAUCAUCACGGCCCUUACGUCCUGGGCCACACACGUGCUACAAUGGGCGGUACAGAGAGCAGCUACCUAGUGAUAGGAUGCGAAUCUAUAAAACCGUUCUCAGUUCGGAUCGGAGUCUGC